rnacentral:rRNA from 1 species
GAUGAACGCUAGCGGAAGGCUUAAUACAUGCAAGUCGAGCGGUAGGUGGCUUCGGCCAUUGAGAGCGGCGCACGGGUGAGUAACGCGUACAUGACCUGCCUGUCAGAAGGGGAUAGCCCUGGGAAACUGGGAUUAAUACCCUAUGGUAUUGAUAUUAUGAAUGAUAUCAAUUAAAGUUGAGGCGCUGACAGAUGGAUGUGCGUCUGAUUAGCUAGUUGGUAGGGUAACGGCCUACCAAGGCGACGAUCAGUAGGGGGCGUGAGAGCGUGGUCCCCCACACGGGUACUGAGACACGGACCCGACUCCUACGGGAGGCAGCAGUAAGGAAUAUUGGUCAAUGCCCGCAAGGGUGAACCAGCCAUUCCGCGUGGAGGAUGAAGGCCCUAUGGGUUGUAAACUUCUUUUAGAUGGGAAGAAAUGCUAGAUGUAUCUGGUACUGACGGUACCAUCAGAAUAAGCACCGGCUAACUCCGUGCCAG